rnacentral:misc_RNA from 1 species
AGUCAGCAUAAUUCAAGUCUUGAUAGGUGUAGUGAAAACUGUAUUUUUCUUGUAUUAUAAUAAGUGGUGGUUGACAGUCGAAACCCCAAAUAGAUCAAUGGAAACUCUAAAUUCAUUUUGUGAUGAAGGAAACCAAAAAGAAUUACAGGGAUGACUGGCAAAAUUAUUUGGAUUCUAUUUAUUAGUUAUGAGAUUAUGCAUUGAAGAUAAUAGUGACAUGUAAGAUAAUGGCAGCAUGAAAAAAAGUUUAAGAAACUUGAAAAUGUUAUCAUAUUAUUUUCUUCUUGCUCCAGGUGUUUAAAAUAUGAUUUAUUUUUUGUUUGUGAUAAUUUUUGAUUAUGUAUUCGGUAUUCCUUAUGAAAUAUAUGGUUUAUGUUUAUUAUCUACCCAAUGUUCCUAUGGACUUGAU